GGGAAGAAACUCGGGGCACAUUUGCAAAAGGACAGCUAGCUUGAAAAGCCGAGGCCAGAGCAGGCUGCUCACCAAGGCCGCUCCGCGCCCACCCCACCCCUGCUCGCCGCCUCUCGUAAAUCACUAGGGGCACAGUCCUUGCAUUGGUGACUUUUGAACAAGCCCCUCCUCGGCAACCAAAGUUCGUUCCGAGUAUGAGGGGGGAAAGAGGGGUGGGGGAGGGACAUUUGGAACGCAGGAGAAAUGCAGUCCGAUCGGAAUCGCCAGACAAGCACCAAAAACUCACCCAGCAAUUCCAAAGCCUUUUGAUCAAACCAGUCACAGUGUGAUGUCAUCUCCACGGAGGCUCUGCCCCAUACAAGUUUCAGGUUCCACUGGAGCUGCCAGCACAGAGGAAGGAAUUCAGUAAUGGGUGAGUCUCAGGGCAGAAGUGUGUAUGUUGUAGGUCUCCUUCCAGUACUUUAGUCCAAAGUAAAGAUCCUAAAGGGGUAUGGAGAUUUCAGAUUCAAAUUUAACUAGACCCAGAUUGGGUAUUAGGGCUUUCAGCCCAAGGCUUCAGUGUCUUCAAUUCUAG
rnacentral:lncRNA from 1 species